UUAAAAUUUAAAUUAUAAAUACUAAAAUAGUAUAUAAUUAUUUAUUGAAACUUAAAUAUUUUGGCGGUAUUUUAGUUUAUUUAGAGGAAUCUGUUUGUUAAUUGAUAAUCCACGAAUAAAUUUACUUAAUUUUAUUAUUUUGUAUAUCGUUGUUAAAAAAAUAUUUUUUAAUAAUUAUAAUAUUUUAAAAUUAUGAGUAAAAAUUAAAUCAAAUCAAGAUGCAGAUUAUAAUUAAGAACAUAAUGGAUUACAAUAAAUUUAUUUAAAAUGAAUUUUAAUUUGUAAUAAUUAAAUGAAAGUGGAUUUAAAUGUAAUUUUAUUUAUUUUAAUAAAAUGAUUUAAAAAUAAAAUAUGUACA
rnacentral:rRNA from 1 species